rnacentral:rRNA from 1 species
GAUGAACGCUGACAGAAUGCUUAACACAUGCAAGUCAACUUGAACUUCGGUUUGGGUGGCGGACGGGUGAGUAACGCGUAAAGAACUUGCCUCACAGCUAGGGACAACAUUUGGAAACGAAUGCUAAUACCUGAUAUUAUGAUUUUAGGGCAUCCUAGAAUUAUGAAAGCUAUAUGCGCUGUGAGAGAGCUUUGCGUCCCAUUAGCUAGUUGGAGAGGUAACGGCUCACCAAGGCGAUGAUGGGUAGCCGGCCUGAGAGGGUGAACGGCCACAAGGGGACUGAGACACGGCCCUUACUCAUACGGGAGGAAGCAGUGGGGAAUAUUGGACAAUGGACCAAGAGUCUGAUCCAGCAAUUCUGUGUGCACGAUGAAGUUUUUCGGAAUGUAAAGUGCUUUCAGUUGGGAAGAAAAAAAUGACGGUACCAACAGAAGAAGUGACGGCUAAAUACGUG